CCUAAGAGAUACGUGUUAUGUGAAGUGCUCACACAGAUUGUCUGAUGAAGAACGAGCAAAAGCGCGUCUGCGAAGCUGACAAAAGUCCCCUUCGUCUAGAGGCCUAGGACACCGCCCUUUCACGGCGGUAACAGGGGUUCGAAUCCCCUAGGGGACGCCAAUGCGCGGUAUGAGUGAAAGGCGUACCACUCAUCUGACGAGAGUCAGAGAAUAACUAAGCUAAUUCAAAUGAGUUAUCUUACUUAUUAUGCUCUUUAACAAUCUGGAACAAGCUGAAAAAUUGAAAACAAAUCAAUAUAUCACCGAGGUAUAUUGAUGAGUCUCUCAAAAUCUCAAACCUUAAAGUUUGUCACGCAAAGUUUAUCUUUGAAAGAGACACUUUCGGGUUGUGA
rnacentral:misc_RNA from 1 species